rnacentral:rRNA from 1 species
AACGAACGCUGGCGGCAUGCCUAACACAUGCAAGUCGAACGAGACCUUCGGGUCUAGUGGCGCACGGGUGCGUAACGCGUGGGAACCUGCCCUUAGGUUCGGAAUAACUCCCCGAAAGGGGUGCUAAUACCGGAUAAUGUCUUCGGACCAAAGAUUUAUCGCCUUUGGAUGGGCCCGCGUUGGAUUAGCUAGUUGGUAGGGUAAAAGCCUACCAAGGCGACGAUCCAUAGCUGGUCUGAGAGGAUGAUCAGCCACACUGGGACUGAGACACGGCCCAGACUCCUCCGGGAGGCAGCAGUGGGGAAUAUUGGAAAAGGGGCGAAAGCCUGAUCCAGAAAUGCCGGGUAAGUGAUGAAGGCCUUAGGGUGGUAAAGCUCUUUUACCCGGGAUGAUAAUAACAGUACCGGGAGAAUAAGCCCCGGCUAACUCCGU